rnacentral:rRNA from 1 species
UACGUAGGGUGCAAGCGUUAAUCGGAAUUACUGGGCGUAAAGCGUGCGCAGGCGGCUUUGCAAGACAGAUGUGAAAUCCCCGGGCUCAACCUGGGAACUGCAUUUGUGACUGCAUGGCUAGAGUGCGGCAGAGGGGGAUGGAAUUCCGCGUGUAGCAGUGAAAUGCGUGAGAUAUGCGGAGGAACACCGAUGGCGAAGGCAAUCCCCUGGGCCUGUACUGACGCUCAUGCACGAAAGCGUGGGGAGCAAACAGG